rfam:Gossypium arboreum cultivar AKA8401 contig_2687_5, whole genome shotgun sequence.
AACCCAUGGUAAAGAUAACUUCUCAGAACAUCCUUAAAUCGCUCACAUGCAUCAUACAAUGUCUCAAGCUCAAGUUAAGUAAAAGAAGAGAUGUCAUUCCUCAACUU